AAAAGAAACAUGAAGAAAUAUGAAAGAAAUAUUUUAGAAAAAUCUUAAAUAAAUCUUAUAUAAACCUUAAUCAAAUCCUACUUUAAUCCUAAUUGAAAUCUUAAUGGAUCUUAACUAAUUCUCAAGUCAAAUCCUAAUUAAAUCCUAAAUCAAAUCCUAGACAAAAUCUAAAUCUUCAAUUAAAUCCUAAAAUUUUUUUAAAUAAAUCCUAAACCUUAAAUCAAAUCCUAGACAAAUCCU
rnacentral:lncRNA from 1 species